rnacentral:rRNA from 1 species
AUACGAGGGGUGCAAGCGUUAAUCGGAAUUACUGGGCGUAAAGCGUUCGUAGGCGGUUUGUUAAGCAAGAUGUGAAAGCCCAGGGCUCAACCUUGGAACUGCAUUUUGAACUGGCAAGCUAGAGUACUGUAGAGGGUGGUGGAAUUUCCAGUGUAGCGGUGAAAUGCGUAGAGAUUCGAAGGAACAUCAGUGGCGAAGGCGGCCACCUGGACAGAUACUGACGCUCAGGAACGAAAGCGUGGGGAGCAAACAGGAUUAGAAACCCUAGUAGUCC